rnacentral:rRNA from 1 species
UGGGGAAUUUUGGACAAUGGGGGAAACCCUGAUCCAGCCAUCCCGCGUGUGCGAUGAAGGCCUUCGGGUUGUAAAGCACUUUUGGCAGGAAAGAAACGUCGCGGGUUAAUACCCCGCGAAACUGACGGUACCUGCAGAAUAAGCACCGGCUAACUACGUGCCAGCAGCCGCGGUAAUACGUAGGGUGCAAGCGUUAAUCGGAAUUACUGGGCGUAAGCGUGCGCAGGCGGUUCGGAAAGAAAGAUGUGAAAUCCCAGAGCUUAACUUUGGAACUGCAUUUUUAACUACCGGGCUAGAGUGUGUCAGAGGGAGGUGGAAUUCCGCGUGUAGCAGUGAAAUGCGUAGAUAUGCGGAGGAACACCGAUGGCGAAGGCAGCCUCCUGGGAUAACACUGACGCUCAUGCACGAAAGCGUGGGAGCAAACAGGAUUAGAUACCCUGGUAGUCCACGCCCUAAACGAUGUCAACUAGCUGUUGGGGCCUUCGGGCCUUGGUAGCGCAGCUAACGCGUGAAGUUGACCGCCUGGGGAGUNCGGUCGCAAGAUUAAAACUUAAAUGAAUUGACGGGGUCAUACUG